rnacentral:rRNA from 1 species
CAAUACUUUGGUGGCGACCGGCGCACGGGUGCGUAACGCGUAUGCAACCUACCUUUAACAGGGGCAUAACACUGAGAAAUUGGUACUAAUUCCCCAUAACAUUCGAGAAGGCAUCUUCUUGGGUUAAAAACUCCGGUGGUUAAAGAUGGGCAUGCGUUGUAUUAGCUAGUUGGUGAGGUAACGGCUCACCAAGGCAACGAUACAUAGGGGGACUGAGAGGUUAACCCCCACAUUGGUACUGAGACACGGACCAA